rnacentral:lncRNA from 1 species
GUGAAUUUCCCAUACAAGACAUAAAUUCUGCCUUGUUCACUCAUCUUUCAUGCGCUUUUGCUGAAGUGAACACUUCAACUUAUCAGCUUUUUGUCCCCUCUGUCUCUGAACAAUACUUCUCAACCUUUGCAAGCAUCGUCAAGCGUAAAAACCCGUCUGUUAAAACACUGGUGUCUGUCUGAAAUGGAAUCUCUGCAACAGGAAAAUCUAUCACUGGUGAAAAAGUUAAUGACUCAGUUUUAUCUUCAAUGAUCUCAGAAUCUUCUAGAAGGAAGUCUUUCAUUGACCCUCAAUAAAAACAGCUAGGCGUUAUGGUUUUGAUGGAAUAGACUUGUGCUGGGUUUGGCCUAACAGCACAGACUUGUUCAAUAUUGGGGGUUUAUUGGAUGAGUGGCGAGCUGCCAUAAAUUCAGAACCAGGAAAACCAAGUCAGUCACAAUUGAUCUUAACAAUGGGGGUUCGUUACUUGCCAACAAUUGAAAUGGUAAGUUAUCCAAUCGACUCCAUAAGUAGGAAUGUUGAUUGGGCGCAUGUUGUGGCAUAUGACUACCAUUUGCCUACCAGGGAGAAUUUUACAGGAGUCCAUGCUGCUUUGCAUAAUCCCUCUAGUCAUGUUAACACAGAUUUUGGCAUCAGGGAAUGGUUGAAUAAAGGAUUUCCACCAACCAAACUGGUUUUGGGAUUGCCUUACCAUGGAUGGGCAUGGAAAUUGGUGAGCAGCAAAGAUAAUGCUAUUGGUGCACCAGCGUCAGGUCCAGCUAUCACCAUUGAUGGUUCUAUGGGCUACAAAACCAUCAAAUCAUACAUUCAGGAUAAUGGUUAUGGAGCUGCUUCUGUAUACAAUGCAACUUAUGUAGUGAACUUGUUCACGUCUCCAACACUUUCGAUCAAUUUUGAUGGUGUAGAGGUGGUCAAAGCAAAAAUUUCCUAUGCAAAGGAGAAAAGGCUUAUUGGUUUUAAAGCGUUUCAUCUUUCAAAUGAUGAGAAUUGGGCUCUAUCGCGGGCAGGUAGGUUCUAAAUUUCCUUUAAUGCUUUCAGGCAUGUGAUAAUUUCAAUUUGGCAACCCUCUCUAAUCCCUUAAGGCAUGAGGCUGACUCAAAUGCGGCAAGAUUUUGGUCUAAGAAGUAUACAACAUCUGGCAAGAGCAAAUCAUUUGUAUCAACAAAAUUAGACGAGCAGGAAUUUCUUUUCUCUGGCAUCUAAGCAGAUUUUGUGUUUCACUUGGUAUAUUAAGAACUCUGCAUCAGAGAACUAGUAUUUUUGCAGCUUAAAAUAUUUCGUAACUUUCUCAGAUCAAUCUUACAGAACUCAAACAAGACAAUAUAGAUACUGAAAACUUUACCAAUUUUGAGGACAGAUUCUAAUUAACAUGCUAAACUACAUUGCCAGCUCAAGAGGAAGAUAAUCAGGAAAACAACAAGCGGCUGUUACUUAAAAUGAUCCUUCCAGUUUCUGUAGUUGUUAUACUGGCAGCUGCUAUGCUGUAUUACUUGCGAAGGAGAAAGGUCAAAUCAAAAUGUAACUCUACCUUCAACCAUGAGAAAAGGAAUUGAAGCAAAUAUUUAAAUUGUUAACAAGUCAUAAAAGGAAACACUUUUUGGUGUUCCUUGUGCAUUUUUNNNNNNNNNNNNNNNNNNNNNNNNNNNNNNNNNNNNNNNNNNNNNNNNNNNNNNNNNNNNNNNNNNNNNNNNNNNNNNNNNNNNNNNNNNNNNNNNNNNNNNNNNNNNNNNNNNNNNNNNNNNNNNNNNNNNNNNNNNNNNNNNNNNNNNNNNNNNNNNNNNNNNNNNNNNNNNNNNNNNNNNNNNNNNNNNNNNNNNNNNNNNNNNNNNNNNNNNNNNNNNNNNNNNNNNNNNNNNNNNNNNNNNNNNNNNNNNNNNNNNNNNNNNNNNNNNNNNNNNNNNNNNNNNNNNNNNNNNNNNNNNNNNNNNNNNNNNNNNNNNNNNNNNNNNNNNNNNNNNNNNNNNNNNNNNNNNNNNNNNNNNNNNNNNNNNNNNNNNNNNNNNNNNNNNNNNNNNNNNNNNNNNNNNNNNNNNNNNNNNNNNNNNNNNNNNNNNNNNNNNNNNNNNNNNNNNNNNNNNNNNNNNNNNNNNNNNNNNNNNNNNNNNNNNNNNNNNNNNNNNNNNNNNNNNNNNNNNNNNNNNNNNNNNNNNNNNNNNNNNNNNNNNNNNNNNNNNNNNNNNNNNNNNNNNNNNNNNNNNNNNNNNNNNNNNNNNNNNNNNNNNNNNNNNNNNNNNNNNNNNNNNNNNNNNNNNNNNNNNNNNNNNNNNNNNNNNNNNNNNNNNNNNNNNNNNNNNNNNNNNNNNNNNNNNNNNNNNNNNNNNNNNNNNNNNNNNNNNNNNNNNNNNNNNNNNNNNNNNNNNNNNNNNNNNNNNNNNNNNNNNNNNNNNNNNNNNNNNNNNNNNNNNNNNNNNNNNNNNNNNNNNNNNNNNNNNNNNNNNNNNNNNNNNNNNNNNNNNNNNNNNNNNNNNNNNNNNNNNNNNNNNNNNNNNNNNNNNNNNNNNNNNNNNNNNNNNNNNNNNNNNNNNNNNNNNNNNNNNNNNNNNNNNNNNNNNNNNNNNNNNNNNNNNNNNNNNNNNNNNNNNNNNNNNNNNNNNNNNNNNNNNNNNNNNNNNNNNNNNNAGAACCAAUAUCAGUCCCUAAUUUAGAUGAUCCAAAAGAAAAAAAAAUUAAGGCCCAAAGAGAAAGGAGCCUGUAGAAGCCUCAAAAGUUGAAUAAAAGAUAAACUUGUUAGAGGAAAGGCUACAAGCAGUGGAGGAAGUUGGUUUGUAUGGCUCAGUUGAUGCUACUGGAUUCUGUUUAAUCUCAGAUGUGGUUAUUUCUCCAAAAUUUAAGGUGCUAGAGUUUAAGAAGUAUAAUGAUACAAAAUGUUGGAAAACUCACAUUAUCAUGUACUAUCGAAAAAUGGCUACUCAUGCUAAUAAUGAAAAGCUAUUAAUGCAUGUGUUCCAAGACAGCCUAACAAGUUUUCCUGUAAGGUGGUAUGUCCAAUUGGAUAGGAUCCGUAUUCGUUCUUGGAGCGAUAUGACUCAUGCUUUUAUUAGUCAAUACCAACAUAUAAUAAACUUGGCCCCUGAUCGUCUUUCUUUAUAGAAUAUGAAGAAAAAAGUAAUUGAAUCAUUCAAAAAAUAUGUCCAACAAUAGAGGGAUAUUACUUCUUAAGUACAACCUCAUUCGACUGAAAAAGAAACCAUCGUAUUAUUUGUCAACACUUUGAAAUAUCUCUAUUAUGAAAAGAUGAUAGGGAAUGCCACAAAAAAUUUCGUUGACAUGGUGAUCUCAGGCGAAAUCAUUGAGAAUGCCAUUAAAAAAUGGUAAGCUGAAAUGAGGAGAAACCAAGAAAGCACCCGAGAAGAAAGAGACUGAAGUUUAAGAUGUGAGUUUUGAUAGACAGUUCAGAGGAUAUCAAACCUAUCCAUCCUAAGGUUACUCUCCAUACUAUCCUGCUAUGAAUAAUGGUUCAUCUUAUCUAUACCAAUCAGCCCCACAACCACCUAAUUCAUCCACAUAUUAGCCCAUUUUUAUCCCUCAAGCCCUCACAUAUAGUUUUAACAUUCAAACUCCUAUAAGACCUCAAAUUCAUCCUGUUAGCCUGGCAAGUGGUUCACAAGAGCAAUAGACUAUUCGAAAAAAGCUCGUAUUUGAUCUAAUCCUCAUGACUUCUACGAAGUUAUACCGAGAGCUUUAUAAUAGCCAUUUGAUUACCCCCAAGCCAUGUGGAGUCGCUCAAGUCACCUUAUCCUAAGUGAUAUGAUCUUACAGCUCACUGUGACUACCACUACAGAAUUGCUGGUUAUUUCACUAAAAAUUACACUACUCUAAAGCAUAAGGUGCAAUAGUUAAUCAAGGAUGAAAUGGUAAGUUUUGAUCAAGAAAAAGUAACAACACCUAAUGUUAGUGGUAAUCUAUUACCUAAUCACAAUGUCAAUGCCCUGAAUGAGAAUCAAUAAUAUGUUAAUUAAAAAAGGCCUGAAGAGUCACAAUGAAUUAAAGGGGCGAGAUAAAAAUCCUUCACUUGAUUGCACAGAGGCAUGAUUUUAAAGAAGGAUGUUAAAACUGGUUGAAUGCUACUUAUCAUUCUAAGAGUUCUUUUAAAGUAAUGUUAGGAUUUUUUUCUUGCAAUAUGAUUUCACUUGUUAUCAUUUUAGUAAAGGUAAGUUAAUGCAUUUUCGUUACAUUUUUAUUUCACUCGACCAUUAUUCCAUGCUCUGUUACCUUUCAUAACUUUACAUUCCCAUUUUCAAAUUUUAGAUGAUGAAUAUUUAGACAAUGAUAAAAAUAAUUCUGGGAUUUAAUUUUAAGAACUCAUCCACAUUAAUAUGAGAAGAUGAUUUGAGCAAAAAAGUAAGCUGUUACUAGAGGUGAAAUAGAUAUGUCUUGAAGAUAUGUAAUUUUUUAUACAGGUUCAUAAGCUUUGUUCAAUAGAUGAUGUUCAAGAAAAGUAUUCACAAUUAAGAUGAAAAAUGGUCAUCUUUUUUUUACCAUUUGAAAAACCAUUUAUUGCAACCCCUUUGAGCCUAUUAUGAUUUUUUUCUCUGAAGAACCCUAACCAAGGAUCACCCUCUACACUGGGGGGUAAUUUUUGAAAAAAAUAUCACAAAAAGUCUCAAAAAUGGAAAGAGAAAGAAAAGCAAAAGAAAAAAUAAAUGCCACACAUGAUUUGGGGUAAAAUAAUGAGAAUCACUUAUGUGAGGAAAAAAAAUAGUGAAAUGAUGUGGGGGCAAAAUGCCAUCAAAUGAUCCUUUGGUCUUGAACCUUUUUAAUAUAUGUUUUGAGCCUAUUAUAUCUAUUUCUUUUAUGACCCCUCACCUUGACCUACAUUACAAUCUUGAAAAGUCUAUUUGGAUCAAGUGUGAAUGCUCAACUUGAAUGAUCAUAUGUUGGGCAAAGCCAUGCUCAUGAUGAAAUAAUGGAAUCAUGCUAUAUUGCUCUAAAGUUUGAUGUGUAGAAAGAUAUCAACAAUGGAUGAAAAAAUGAAAAAAAGAAAAGAAGAUGAUGAAAAAAUAAAAAAUGAAACAAAUAAAGAAAAAAAAUGAAAAAAUGAAAAAACUAUUCAAAUUGAAAACCUAAAAAGGUGAUUUGGGUAGAAAAAGGUCUAGGUCAAAUGGUUCACAUGGAUGGAAAAUCAAAGACAUCUAAAAAUCCCUCAAAAACUGGGGUAAAGUUCGUCAAGCUCAAAAUGACUUCAACAGUAAAUGGAAUGAGUUUUUGAAAAAGAAUCCUAGAUUAAUAUUGAGAAUUGUCUGAAUAUUCAUCGUUUGGACAUACCAUUCAUCCCAAUGACAUGUAUCCAAUUUAUUUCAUUUCUCAUUUGUUUUGUACUCAAAUAGAUCUUCAUUGAUUAUCUUUACCAUAAUUCACCUUGUGUUCUUUUAUUGUUACAUCCUUAGAAUAAAUCAAGAAAAUGUAUGAGUGCAUUAUAAUUGUCAAGAAUUGAAAUGAUGAUGAAUGAAUGAAAAUGUGCAUAAAAAAAUCUUGCAUUCCUUUAAAGAGAAAUCUAAGAUGAUGGUGAUAACAAAAUGAAAAAAUGGUAGAAACCUAAAAGAGAUAAUUUGAAAGGACAUAUGAUGUGACCAAAUAGAGAAUAUGAUGAUGGAUUGGACAAUAAAAUGAAAAUGGGGAAAAUCUUGAAAAGUGGUAUAAUCAAGUGAUGAAUAUGGGGAUGUAUUGAUUGAUAUAACCUAUGAGUUAUGGUUAAGUGAUGAAAAUGAUAUGGAGCAAUAGAUGAAACUGGUGCUGAUAAGCUUAUGAAUGAUGACUAAGUGACAGAUGAUGAAAUUUGUUUUGAAAUGGCUAGUAUUGAGAAGCUUAUGAACGAUGACUAAGUGAUAAAACAUAAAAUUUAUUUUGAAAUGAUUAGUGCUGAUAAGCCUGGCAUGUAAGGUAAUAGGUAAAAUUUGUUGGCGCUAAGAAACCUCUUGAUGGUGAUCAAGUAAUGGAAACAAUGAUGAUCAAUUAAUAAAGCUUGUUUCAAAAUGUUGAGAAGCUAAAUAAAGGGAAAAUGUGAGAUGGUAGGGUCUUGAGGAUCAUAUUCCAUAAUUAUUUAAGAUUUCAUGACAUUAUUGACCUUCGCAUUACAUGCAACAUGUUGGCAUCAUUGCUUGAAUAGUACAUGCACACAAUUUGAUGAAUUAAACUUUGUUUGGACAUGCAUGGCAUUAUGAGAAUAUAGGUUACCACAUUUGCAUCAUUAAGAAGGCAUUUACAUCUUUGGUCAUAACAUUCAUUCAAGCAAAUUUUUGAGUCACUUGAAAAAAAAAUCGUGAAUAUUUUGAUGAGAAUUUUUGAGAACUCAAAUGAGAAUCUUUGAGGAGUAAAACCCUAAAGUUCAUCAAAUGUGAAUCUUCGAACUAGAAUGAAAAGUUUUAAACUUUUGGAUGUGAAUCUCCAAAAUACAAAGCUUCAAUUUUUUGGAUAUGAAUCUCUAAAUUUUUAAAUGAGAACAUUUGAACUUAGAUGUGAAACUCUAAGUUUUAUUACUGAACCUUUGAACUCAAAUGAGAAGCUUUGAAUUUUUUGAUGUGAAUCCCAAGCUUGCCAAAUGCAAACCUUUAAACUUUUGGAUGUGAACCUCCAAAAUUCAAAUAAGGAUCUUUAAUGCGAGUCUUGCAAGUUGCAAAUGCAAAUCUUGAGAUCUUGCAAAUUUGAGUGGAAUUGAAAUUUUAAGAAUCAAAUUUCAGUAAAUUCUUACAAAGUUGAAAAGUUCUUACGAAUCUGAACCUCUGAAUGUUGAACUCAAAUUGUGAAUCUUUGAGUUCCCAUUACAAAAUUCCUUCAAUCACAAUCUAUAACUCCUUUGGACAUGAUUGUCAAUGAGCAAUUUAUUUUUUCAAAGUUUCGUUACCUCUGUUUAGAGGAGCAAUUUACUUUCCAAAGUUGUGGUACCUCUGUUUAGAAGAGAAAGUUGUGGUGCCUCUGAUUAGAGGAGCCACUUAUUUUUUUAAAGUCAUAGUUGCCUUUGAUUAGAUGAGCCAUUUAUUUCAGAGGAGCCAUUUAUUUUUCUAAAAUCGUUAAGCCUCUGAUUAGAGGAGCCAUUUAUUUUUUCAAAAUCGUUGAGCCUCUGAUUAGAAGAGCUUUGUUUAUGUUUCUCAAAGUCAUUAAACCUCUACUUAAAGAAGCUUUGAUUAAAAUUUUAACAAACAAAAACAAAAACAAAAACAAAAAAAGUGUCAAGUUGAGUCUUGAAUGGGUGUCUACGUCUUUGCACAAUUCUUGCUUUGCAAAAAAUGUGUAAAGAGGGGCAGCUACAAAUACCCUAUUUAGUCCGAACCCAAGCCCAUUGGGCUUGGUCCAAUAGGGUUUAGGUCUAAGCCCAUUGAACCCGAUUUAAGAUCCAACUAGCAGGCCCAAUUAACUUUUUUUUAUUUUUCUUUGAUUUUUUUAGUUGAUUUAUCUGUUUUAUUAGAUUUAUCAUUAGUUUAACAAGAUUUAGUGAUAAAAAAUAAAAAAUUAUAUCUUUGGUCCUAAAUUUGAGGUUGUAGAGUUUCUAUAGGUUUUAAUAGGAGGUAGGAUGAGUCUUAAAUUUUUGAUAACCCCGUUGAAUAAGGACUUUGAUCUGAUAAAAAAUUCUUCUGAUAUGGUCUUAUAAAUAGCAACAAAGCAACGAAAACAAAAAAGAAGGGAGAAACACAGAAAAUAGAAGCAACAAGCCAAAACCCAAUAAAGAAAAGUGGAACUGGAAAUUGGAAAAAUGUCUCAUCCUUCCAAAGUUUUCAUGGUUUCAGAUAAGCCUAGCAUCGCUCUCUCCAUUGCUUCUAUACUCUCUCAUGGCCAAAUGACAACAAAGAGGGGCAAUACAGAUGUCCAUGAGUUCAACGGGCCUUUUCUUGGCUUUCAUGCUUCUUUCAAAGUGACUUCAGUUAUUGGACAUGUAGUCAACAUAGAUUUUCUAGCUUCUUAUCAAGACUGGAAUGCCACUAAUCUUCUAAACCUAUUUCAAGCACCAGUUAUCAAGAUAGAAUCAAACCCAAAGGCCCAUAUUUCUAAACAUUUAAGUCAAGAAGCUCGUGGUUGUGGUCAUUUGGUAUUAUGGUUGGAUUGUGAUCGUGAAGGAGAAAACAUUUGUUUUGAAGUCAUUGAGUUUACGAGAUUUCAUGUGAAUGAGGUAAAAAAAAAAGGGUUUAUCGUGCUAGGUUUUCUUCUGUGAUCGAGAAAGACAUCUUGAAGGCUAUGGAUAAUCUAGUGGAACCGAACAGACAUGAAGCACUGACUGUGGAUGCUCGGCAAGAGAUAGAUUUGAAAGUUAGUGUUGCAUUUACCCGAUUUCAAACUAGUUAUUUUCAAGGAAAAUAUGGGAAUCUUGACUCCAGGGUUAUCUCGUUGGUUCUUUCAUCUCGUCCCUAGCAUUUUGUAGUUCAUUAUGCAUUUUUCUUUGGGGUUUCCAUGCAUCAUUUGUUUUUAUUGCAUUUAUUUGCAUAAUUAUGAUAUCCUCACCAAGGAUGUGGGAAGUUUAUGCAAUUCUCAUAUGCUUAUACCAGGAGUCUAGGUUAUAUUGUAGUUCUGUUGGCAAUAAUAUUCUACUGACAUCGAAAUUCAUUGUUGCACUAGGUUUGUACCCUUGCUAGUUUGAUAACUUAAUUAACUAUAGAGUCUCUGAGUGGUAAGGUUCGGUAUGUCAUUCCUAUGUUCUAUCUUCUCAUAUCCCCUCCUUAUAUGUUGUAUGGUUAAUUUUUCUUUCAGCUCUCACCCAUUUUUCUUUGACCAUUAAUUAACAAUUGUUGCUUUAAUAUGCUUAAUCAUCAAAAACGUCUAUUUUAAACUCGAGCUUGAUUGAUUUACCAUAUCAUAUGCCAUGCAUGCUGGCAUGUCAUUCUUGGUUGUGUUUUUACCUUUGUUUAUUCACAAUUUUGUUUUCUGGAUAUUGAUCUAGUGAGCUUCAUCUCUAGGUUUCUCUUUCUAACCAACUAUAUGAAAGUUUAGGGCUUUACUUGUCUGUCGACAUAAUUUUAUGCUUUUAGCCUUACCUUUUACUUUUACCCUAGGCAAUGUUGAUUUUUUGCUCUUAAUUCAUUCUCAUUCUUUAGAGUUAUUCUGACUAUUUCAUAAAAAUGAUUUUGUUUAUUUUUAGCUUGGGUGCAACUAUUUAAUAUGAUAAUUAAUUACUUAUUUCAGCUAUGGACCAUGUCAAACCCCUACACUUGGGUUUUGUGAGCAGCGAUAUUUGCAAAUUAAUACUUUUAAGCCUGAAAAGUUUUGGGCAUUACGUCCCUAUAUUAUUCAAAAUGGUUAUGAGCUUCAUCUAGAAUGGAAACGUCAAAAGUUGUUUGACUUAGAUGUUGCAACAAUGUUCCAAAAGUUGUUUGACUUAGAUGAUGGAAUUCUUAAAGUAAUUAAUGUAUCAAAAAAACGAGAAAGCAAAGGUCGACCUUCUGGUCUCAACACAGUGAAUCUUUUAAAGGUUGCUUUAAGUGCAUUAGGCUUUGGACCUCAGACAGCCAUGCAAAUUGCUAAACACUUAUAUACACAAGGUUUCAUAAGCUAUCCACGAACCAAAAGUACAGCAUAUCCUUCAUCGUUUGAUUUCGAAAGCACAUUUAAGGUACUAGAAAACAAUCCACUGUGGAGUGACUAUGUCCAAAGAUUGCUUGCUGAAGGUUAUCAUAAACCAUGCUCAGGAACAGAUGCCGGUGAUCAUCCUCCUAUAACUCCAAUGCGACCAGCAACCAAGGAUAUUCUUGGAAGCCAUGCUUGGAGAUUGUAUCAGUAUGUCUGUCAACAUUUUAUAGGAACUGUGUCUCCUGACUACAAAUACGUGAGCAACAACAAUAGGGGAACAAAAAUAAAAUAGAGAGAUCAGAAAAGAAUCACAGAAAAAAAUCUAAAGAUCAAAAACACGCAAGAAAAUUCGUAGUGAAAUAGAGAAAUUGGCAUAGCUUGUGUUUAGAGCAGCAACAUACAGUAGACCAUCGUGUAAAGUCACCAGCUGGUAGGAAAAAGCAAGGAAAAAAGUGCCCUGACUGCAAGUCUAAGAAAGAGAGAAGCAAACAAGAAAGAGAAAAAACAAACAAUUUAAGGAAAGUUGAAAGUAUCAAUUUUUCUUGAAAAAAUUUUUCAAAUGCUUUAAGGAAAAGUUGAAAGUAUCAAUUUUUCUUAAAAAUAAGUUUUCAAAAAGGGUUUUUUUUUUAGGAAAAGUUGAAAGUAUCAAUUUUCUUUGAAAUUAAAGUUUCUAACAAAUAUUUUUGAUAGAAAGUUGAAAGUAUCAAUUUUUCUCGAAAUUAAAGUUUUAAAAAAAUAUUUUUGAGGAAAAGUUGAAAGUAUCAAUUUUCUUUACACAAAAGCAAUCAUUUUUUCUCUUUCGUUUUUAUUUUCUUGAAUUUUCUUUAAUGUUAAAUAAUCCGACGAUGGAGCCUCUGCAAGUGAAACAAUAGUUUUCUUGCAUACUCUUGAGAUAAGGGGAUUUUCUCAAUUUUUUGCUAAAAGUAUUAGAGUCAAUUGAGAAUAAUUUUUAAUAACUAAUUACUUGGUAAAUAUUUAAGGCUUAUUGGAUAACACAAAAUUAAGUUGGUACAAUCUUUUGAUGGGCAUUGUGAGGGUGCUAUAACCUUCCUCACACGUAACCGAACUCCUGAACCCUAUUCUGGUUAGUAGACCCGAACCUAUUCUCUUAGGGACCCUUAAACUUAGGUGUUCCCUGAAAAGAUAGAUUCCUUAGAUGAUCAAUCGUACCUAGAUAAAAAAGAUUGGUGACGACUCCUUCAAGUUAAUGUCUAGUGAUGAAUCUUCGGAUCUAGACGUUAUGACAUAAUAUACUAAAAAAGAUUUAAGAUAAUUCUAAACUUAUUGGAAUGUAAGAGCAACCAUUAAAAAAUAUUAUUGUAACAUAAAUAGUUAUGUUAGCAACAUAAAAUUUUAAUUAAUUAUUGUUCAUGUAAAUAUAUAAGAAAAACAUCUAACAAAUAAUAAUAAUAAAUUUUGCUAACUUAAACAUGUGAAAAAAAAACGUAAAAUUUAUAUCAUUGAACAUAAAAUGUGUAAAAAGUGUUUUAACUCAACAAAGAAAAAGUUAUAACAAUUUUAAACGUAACAAAACGUAAAAAUAACUCUAAAAAAAUAUUUUUGUAACGUAAAUAAUGAAAUCAGUAAUGUAAUAUUACAUUAUAAUUAAUUAUUAUUUUUGUAAAUAUAUAAGAAAAAUAGGUAAUAAAUAAUCAAAAAAAUUUUAAACUAAACAAAAGGGAGGUACAAUAAAAUUUCUCUCAUAUUUGAAAGCCACUAUUAUACCAUUUUUAGUCUUAAAAAUUUAUUAACAUAAAUAUUUGUGUAGUAAUUUUUUCACUGCAUAGUAAAAAUAUUUAUAUAAUAGUAAAAACUAUCACAUCUUGAUAAAGUGACAUUUUAAACAUGUUGAAUUUUUUAUAAAAAGAUACCAAAAUUUGCAAUUAAAGUAUCUAUGAAAAAAUUCAUACAAAUAAAACAAUACAAUGGUAACUUACAUUUUUAUGAAUUAUGUUAAAAGAUUUUUAAGACUAGAAAGAAAAUCAUAAAAAUAAAAUCGUAAAAUAUAUAAGAAAAAUAACUAAAAAAUAAUUUUAAAAUUAAAAAAGACAACAUAAAAUAAUUGAUAUUUUAAAAUUAAAAAUAUUAUUAAGAUGAAUACUAAAAUUUGUAUUAAUUAUUGUUGUAGUAUUGUUAUUUGUUAAUAAUGAAGAAAUAACAAAAUAUUAUUUAUUAAAACAAUAUAUGACAUAACUAUAGUUGAAUUUUUAUUUUAAUGUUAUUGUUUAUAGAUAAAAAUAAGUAUAAAAUAUGUAAUUUAUAUUUUUUAUUGGUUAGAAAAAUAAAAUAAAUAAAAUUAUCUGUAUAUUUUUAGUUGAUCUAUUAACUUGUUUUACUAUUUUCACUUUUUUUUUUAAAUUUUUGUAAUAUUUUCAAUUUCUCACUAGAUAUCAUGAUAUCACAAGACUUUAUAAUAAGGUUGAUAAAUUGUGACCUUAUUAUGAUAAACUCAUCUCUCAAUUUUAUAUUGUUCAAAUACUAUUUUGAAGGCUAUCAAUUUUUUUGCCAUUUGUCAUCUUUUCAUUGGCACAAAAAAGAAAGAUAAAAUCAUCUUUUUAGCAUUUAGACACUUGUCUUACGUCUUUUAACAUUAUUGUUUUAAAUUUAAAAAAAAAAAAACUAAAAAUUCAAGGAGAGAAGAAGUUUUUAGAUUUGGAGGAAUAAGAGAACAGACAAGCGAAAUGAAGAAAGAAUGAGGAAGCUUUCUAGAGAGUUCAAAAAACAAAAGCUAUUUCUUUUUUGCCCAAAGCUGUUUCUUUUUGGGGACUUUUAUAAUAAGAAGUUUUUUUAAUCUUGUAAUAAGGUUAGCAGAUAAUGAUCAUUAGAUUUAUAUAAUUAAAUAUCAAAUAUUGAUUAAAUUUUAAAGCUUCGCAAGUAAUGAGAUUGCAAAACAAAAUUUAUAGAAUCAUAUACAUAAUUCAAAUAAUUUUCACUUUAUGUAAUAGUUUUUAUUUUUCACUUUAUUACAUGUUUAUGAAAUUACUUCAAAAUAAAAAUAAAAUAAUUAAAAACAUUCCUUUUAAAAAACUUUUAAUAUAAUGGCAUUUUCGAAAUUAGCUAAAAAAUAUUAUAAAAAAUAAUUCAGGAAAAAAAAAUAUUAACAAAAAAAUUCUUUCCAAGAAAAAAAUUAACUUAAAAGAAGUUAUAUUUUAAAUAAAAAUAAAAAAAAUUAUUAACAUAAUCAAAUGAUAGAAAUAAUAAAAUUUAUAUCAAUUUAUUUAAAAUGGGAUACAAGUGUCUUAACACGUUAAAAAAUGAAUUAUAAAAAUUUUAAAUAUAAUGAAUAUAAGAAGAAGCGUUAGAAGAAUUAUUUUAAUGUAAAUAAUUAAGUUAACAAUAUAAAUUUAAAUUAAUUAUUUUCUUUAAAUAUAUAAGAAAAUAGUUAAAAAGACGUCUACUGAUAAAAAUUAAUAUAAACAAAAUGAUAUUUUUGAAAAAAAUUAAUAAAAAAUUUAUUAACAUUAAGCAUGUGAGAGAAAUGGUAAAAUUUAUAUUAUUUAGUAUAAAAUAUAUUAAAAGUAUCCUAACACCUAAGAAAGAAUUAUAAUAAUUCUAAAUUUAAUGAAAUGUAAGAACAACUGUAAAAAAAAUUAUUGAAAUAUAAAUAACAAAGAUAGCAACAUAAAAUUUUAAUUAAUUAUUAUUUCUAUAAAUACAUAAAAAAAUAUAAUAAAUAAAAAAAUAUAGAUAACAUGAAUAGAUAAAAGAAAACAAAACAUUUAUAUCAUUUGAUGUAAAAUAGGUAAGAAGAGUUAUAACACACUAAAAAAAUUAUGACAAUUUUAAACAUAUCGAAAAAUAAGAACAAAUAUAAAAAUAUAUUAUUAUAAUGUAAAUAAUUAUGAUGGUAAUGUAAAAUUUUAAUUAAUUAUUAUUUUUGUAAUAUAAAGAAACAGUUAUAAAUUAAAAAUAAAUUGGUAAUGUAAAAAAAUGUGAAAAACAUAAAAUUAAUAUCAUUUAGUGUAAAAUUGGUAAAAAAUGUUGUAACACAUUAAGAAAGAGUUAUGAUAAUUUUAAACAUAAAAAAAAGUAAGAACAAUUGUAAAAAAUUAUUGUAACAUAAAUAAUUAUGUUGGCAACAUAAAAUUUUAACUAAUUAUUAUUUUUUAAAUAUAUAAAAAAUAGCUAAAAAUUGAAAAACUAAUAAGUUACGUAAAAUGAGUAUCAUUUGGUGUAAAAUCGAAAAAAGUGUCAUAGCACACUAAAAAAGAGUUAUUACAAUUCUAAACAUAAUUAAAGAUAACAAUAAUCAUAAAAACAAAUUAUUGUAAUGUAAAUAAUUAAGUUGCUAACAUAAAAUUUUAAUAAAUUAUUUUUAUAACAUAGAAGAAAACUAGCUAAAAAUUAAAAAAUAUAUAUAUUAGUAACGUAAACAAGCGAGAAGAAAUGUAAAAUUAGUAUUAUAUAGCGUAAAAUAUUAUUGUAAUGUAAGGAAUAAUAUUGACAACAUAAACUUUUAAUUAAUUAUUGUUUUGUAAAUAUUUAAGGAAAAUGGAUAUAAAUUAAAAAAUAAAUUUGAUAAACUAAACAAGUGGAUAACAAACAUAAAAUUAAAAUCGUUUGACGUAAAAUAGGUAAGAAGUGUCAUAAUAUAUUAAGAAACAAUUAUAACAAUUCUAAAUGUAAUGGAAAAUAAAAACAAUUGUAAGAAUAUAUUAUUGUAAAGUAAAUAAUUAUAUUGAUAACGUAAAAUUUUAAUUAAUUAUUGUUCCUAUAAAUAUAUAUAAGAAAAAUAGUUAAAAAUUAAAAAAUAAAUUGAUAAUGUAAACAAGUAAGAAACAUAAAAUUAGUAUCAUUUGGUGUAAAAUGAGUAAUAAGUGUCGUAAAAUACUAAGAAAGAGCUACACAAUUUUAAACAUAAUGGAAAGUAAAAGCAAUCAUAAAAAUAUAUAUUAUUAUAUUAUAAAUAAUUAUAAUGGCAAUGUAAAAUUUUAAUUAAUUAUUAUUUUUGUAAAUAUAUAAGAGGAAGAUAGAUAAAAAUUAAAAAAUAAAUUGGUAAUAUAAACAAGUGAGAAGAAAUAUAAAUUUAGUUUUAUUUGACGUAAUAUGGAUAAGAAGUGAUAUAACACAUUAAGAAAGAGUUAUGAUAAUUUUAAAUGAAAUGGAAGAUAAGAACAACCAUAAAAAUAUAUUAUUGUAAGAUAAAUAAUUAUGUUGGCGAUGUAAAAUUUUAAUUAAUUAUUAUUUUUAAAUAUAUAAGGAAAAUAAUUAAAAAUUGAAAAACAAAUAGAAAACAUAAAAAAGUGAGAAAAAGCGUAAAAAUAGAAUAAUUUGACAUAAAAUGAGUAAAAAGUGUUAUAACAUACUAAGAAAAAGUAAGGACAAUUAUAAACAUAAUUAAAGGUAAGAACAAUCAUAAAAAAGAAAUUAUUAUAACAUAAAUAAUUAACUUGUCAACAUAAAAUUUUAAUUACUUAUUUUUUUGUAAAUAUAUAUAAAAAAAGCUAAAAAUUAAAAAACAAACUGAUAAUGUAAACAAUAAAGAAAAAUGUAAAAUGGGUACACUAUAGGAGAACAAGUAUUUAGUGGUGUUUUUUUUUUUUUUUCACAUUUAGCAACAUUUAUAAGCAGCUUUAAAAAAUUUGUGACAUUUUUGGCUGAGAGCAUUAGCUGUAUUUGCAUUGGAAAAAAUAGUUGUGUUUUAAGAAAAAAUGUCGCUAACUUAGUGGAAUUUAUUAUAAAAAAUGCCAUUAAAUUUAAUGCAGUUUGUGUUUAAAAAUGACAUUAAAUUUAGUAAUAUUUUUAUGAUACAAAUGCCACUAAAUUCAAUAAUUUAUUGAUCCGUUUGACACAUUACUAUGUUUUCAUUGCAGCUUCAAAAGAUUUACUUACCCUUUUUUUUUACAUUUUUUUUACAAUAUAUGAAGUUAUAAAGGUUCUAUUUUCUAUAAACUACUUUUAUGUUUACUGCUUCCCUAAAAGCUAUGCUUCAUUGACUUUUAGUAUUGAUUUUUCUCAUUCUUUAAAAUUAUUAUCCUUAUUAUUUUUUUACUUUGGCUUUUAUAAUAUAUGAAGUUAUAAAGUCCAACCGAACAUCAAUGGAUAGGGGCAUGGAAAUGCAUGAAAGACAUAAGCACAUAGCAAGCAAGGAUAAUAAUAUUGCAUUGAACUUCCAACUGCAUUGAUAAAUGAUUGAGACAAUCUCACUUGGAUUAAACCAAUUAGGAUGAGGAUAAUAAGGUUGGUGAACAAAAUGGGCCCAAGAUAGUUGAAGUCUUUGCCUUUCUUAGAUGCCUAAAAAGUGUAGCCAGUAAAAGAUGCAGCAACAACUACUAUCAAAAUUAGUGCUUUAAGCACAGUUCUUCUUGAAAUCAUACAAAUGUGGAUAAUUAGCAUAAUUCUAGAUUUAUAACAAGACCUAGGAUUGUUGAGAGCAUGCAUCAAUUAAGAUACUAACCAUUAGUAUUAGCACAGCUCAUGCCAACUGUAAGACUUAGUGAUUGAGUGAAAAGGCCAAGGAUAACCAAGUUCAUAGGGUGCUUUUUGUAAUUGACGUGCAAGGGCUACAACACUACAUAUAUUAAGUUUUAUGAUUAAGAUAACGCACAGUAACAUGGCACAAGAAAUGGAACACGACUCUAUAGGUUCUUAAGUAAAUGCUUGGGAAAAAAAAAGGCCUUUAUGACUCAAGCUAGUAAAUUAUAAAUUUAAGCCAUUAUAAGACAUCGACCAGCUCUUAAUGUCUAAGUUUACAAAAUUAUAAGACAUGAACACUAAUAACUUCCAAAUAUUUAAAAUGCAUUACAAUCAACCAAAGAGAAAGAUAAAUUGGUAAAAGUUACAUGACAAUUCAAAAGGUACAAAAAAGAACAUAUGAAGGUCAUAGUACUUUAAAGGAGUAAGUUAUCUUUUAGUUCAAUUUUUUAUUGUUUGAUGGAUUCCAUUAUUUUUCAAGUAUAAGCUCAAUUUUUCUUUUCAUAGUUUCAGAGAAACCAUUCCCUCCAAUAUAGCCAAUAAAGGCAUACAUCAUGCCUACCUAACUUUGGCCUACUUUAUGAAAACUAAGUUAAACCUUAGAAAUUUUGCUCAAGAAAAUUAUAACAAUGACUUGAUUACCAAGCUUUAAGCCAGUCUCUCUGUCUCACAUAAAAAAAAUGAGCAAAGGAAGAGAGUUGAAGACUUGGCAGCCAAGCAAGAAAAAUGUAGGUCUAGAAGGCUUCCGCUGAGUUUGUAAAGAAACAUUAUGUGCACAAACUUAAUAAGGUGUAGGUUGAGAUUACCAAGUUGAGGUCUGAGUUGAAGUCAAAUUUUGUUAGGAGAAUGUCUUUGGUGCCUUUGAGCUAUGCAAGGAUGGGGAACUGUUUAAGUAUGCAAGUAUAAACCUUUACCUAUCAAACAUCAUAUUGGAUAACCUUAAGAUCAAAUCUCUCAUCUAGUUUAAAAGAAAAAAAAAAGAUGAUAAGAAUGAGGAUGCGAAUAUAGACACCAAACUCAAUGUCAUUCUUGGGCUUGAAGUUAAGGAAAAAUCUACUACUGCUACUGAAAAAGAGGGAGACUGAAGAGAAUGGAAGAUUUUUUUAAUUUUUGUUUAUCUUUUAUCAAAUAUGAGGUUGAGUUUUGUAAGGACCUAUGUUAUAUCAUUCUAUAAAUUUUUAUCAGAUCAUUCUUUGUAAUCAUAAUUACUUGACUAAAAUUUUGUCAAUAAAAUGAAUUAUAAAUUUUUGUCAAAUUAGGUGAGCUUGAUCAAAUAUAACUUAACUACUCAUUAAAUUAACUUAAGGAUCUAAAUUAACACAAGUCCUAACUCGAUUCACUUUAGCUAUUAAUCUUUUCAAAACUAGUUGUAAGGACUUAGAUUAGACAAUUUGUUAACUCAACUAUUGGUGGCAUGUUGCCUUAGAUUUUAUUUUUCAAGUAUAAGUUUGGCAAUUACCUGAGCUUUGGAAUUUUAUAAUGAAUAUAGUCAAAGUGUAAGUUUUAUUCAAUCAAACUUUGAAAAGUUACAAAGUGUGAGCUCGACUUUAAAUCUUUUUACUAGUAAUAGAUUUUAAGAUUGCCUGUAUUUCAUAUCCUCGAAAUGAGAUUACCAUUCAUAUCUUGCAACCUAUAAGUUACAUCAUAAAUGACCUCAUUGACAACAUAAAGACCAUCCAAGUUCGAGGCUAAAUUUUUACCUUAUUAUCGACUCCUAAAGCUUUCACCUAUAUUUGUAUUAGGUCACUCAUUUUUAUAUUUUUACUCUGGACCUUUUUAUUGUAAAAACUGGCUACUUUUUGUUGGUAGGUAGCUAUUUUGGUCAGAGCUGCAUUUCUCUGCUCUUCUACUAAAUCAAGAUUGGCUCUAAAGGCAUCUUCGUUCCCCUCUUCAGAUUUAAGCUUAACUUAAAGGCUUGAGAUUUCAAUCUUUACAUAUACCAUGACCUUUGUUUCAAAUACUAGAUUAAAGGGAAUUUCUCUUAUGAGAACUUUUGUGGUCAUCUUUAAAGCCUACAGAACUUUAGGGAGCUCAUUGGUCCAUUUGCCCUUAACUUCAUCUAGUCUCUUUUUCAAAACUCCAAGUAUUGUCUUGUCAACUACCUCAACUUGACCAUUACAUUAGAAAUGAGUGAUCGAUGUGAACCUUAGGUUAAUGUGAAAAUUAGAGCACCAUUUUUUAAACUUUAAGUUUUUAAACUAUUUGUCAUUGUCUAUUAUUAUACAACCAAAAUAGAUCAAAUCUGUAGAUUAUAUUCUUUCAUAUCAACUUUUUAACUUAAGCUUUUGUUAUUGUAGUUAGGGUUUCGACUUCGAGCCAUUUUGUGAAGUAGUCUACUACUACUAUUACAAAUCUUCUCUACCUUGUGAUUAGGGUGACAGAUCCAAGAACAUUUAUUUUUCAUUGCAUAAAAGGCUUGUUGACAAUAGAGGUUAGUUUGGUUGAUGAAAGAUGUUGUAUAUGGGCAAAUAUCUGGCAUUUAUCACAUUUUUUUACUAGGUUGAUUACAUCAUUUUUUAUAGUUGGCUAGUAGUAGCCCUAAGUACCUUAUAGGUAGUGGCUAAAGUCUGAAGUGAUUACCAUAAAUUUUUUUAUGUAUUUUUCUAAGUGCAUAGUUUACCUCUUCAUCAUCUAUAUAUCUUAGGCAAGGCAAACUAAAAUAUCUCCAAUACAAUUUUUCAUUUAUCAUUGUGUAUCAAAGAGCUUUUCUCAUCAAAGCUUUAGCUCAAGCUUUAUCUUUGAGUAGUUUUCUCACUGUCAAGAAUGCUUUGAUCGAGGUCAACAUGAUUUUUUCUCUUCAAUCUACUCAACCAGUUUCUUUGCUCUUUUGCCAGAAUGUGAGUUAAACACUCUAUUGUUAUUCUCGACACUUACGUAGACAAUGAAUCAGCCAGUACGCUUUCUAACCUUAGCAUUUUUUUUUUUUACUUUGACCUUAAAGAAUAUGGCUAGAAUAGUUUGUGCUUCAUAUAAGUACUUCUUUAUUCCUUCUUUUUUACUCUAAAUUUUUCAUUUAUUUGGUUCACCACCAGUUGAGAGUCAUUGUUUAUAAUGAUGUUCUUCACAUUCAACUUAAUCAUAAGUUUUAGGCUAGCAAUUAGGGUUUCAUACUCGACCUCAUUGUUGAAAGCUUUAAAUCCAAAUCUUAGGGCAUACCGAAGUUGUAGGUUUUCUAGACUAAUCAUAAUUAGACUGACUCCACUAGUGACUGAUCUAUUAAUAAAAAGUUUCCACAUUUCUUUUUUCCUGAUCUCUUUAGCCUUUUCGGGUUGUUCGUCGAUCCUAGUUAAGGUGCAUUCCAUAACAAAAUCUAUUGGCACCUAAAAUUUUAAAAUCAACUUAGGGAGCAUGUGCAGGUCAUAUUUAUUGAGUUCCACUAUCCAUUUAAUUAGCUUUUUUUAUAGUUCUAAUUUUUGCAAAUUUGCUUGAGUGGUUAGUCAAUUAACACAUGAAUUGUAUAAGCUUAAAAUUAUGGCUUAAGUUUUCUAGCCAAUGUCGUUACUAUAUAGGAUAAUUUUUUUUUAUCUUGGUAUAGUUUAUCUCCAAUCUUGUUAGCACUCUGCUCAUAAAGUACAUUAGCUUUUAUCUUCCUUUUUUUCUUUUUGACUAAUACCAAGCUAAUAGCUUAGUCGAUUACAACCAAGAAUAAAUACAAUAUUUCAUCGAGUCUCAACUUAAACAAAAUUAGAGGGGAAAAAAGAAACUCUUUGAGCUCUUUAAAUGCUUUAUAAAAUUGAGGGCUCCAUCUAAAGUCCAAGAUAUUCCUUAAGAUUUUAAGAAAUGGUAGGCAACGUUUUGCUAACCCGAAUAUAAAUUUGCUUAAGGCAACUAUUCUUCCAAUUAGUCUUUGACCUUUAUUAUUGAGGUUGGUGCUUUCAUGUUAAGGAUAGCCUGAAUCAUUUUUGGAUUUGCCUCUAUACCUUUUCUAUUAAUUAUAAAAUCGAGAAACUUGUCUAACAUGACACCAAAAGCGCGUUUGCUCAAGUUAAGUCUCAUGUUGUAUUUUUUUCAGGGUAUUAAAGGUCUCUUCUAAGUCUUUUCAGGUGCUUGUCUAGGCUCUUACUCUUUACUAUAAUAUCAUCUACAUACACCUCUUUAUUUUUACUGAAUUAAUUUUUGAAGACCUUAUCAACUAACCUUUAGUAGGUCAUUUUUAUGUUUUUUAGGCCAAAGGGCAUGACCUUAUAAUAGUAUAAACCUUUUUUCUAUUAUGGAGGUUAUUUUUCCAUGCUUUCUUUUAGUAUUUUAAUUUGAUUAUAACCUGAGUAGGCAUCCAUAAAACUAAGUAGGGUAUGCUCAGCAUUGUCAUCAACCAGCCAAUCUAUGCUAAAGAAAGGAAAGCUAUCUUUUAGACAAGCUUUAUUGAAGUCAAUAAAGUUGAUGCACAUUCUUUAUUUUUCACUAGGCUUUUUUACCAUGACUAUGUUGGCUAUCCAAUCGAGGUAGUAUACUUCCUUGAUUAAGUUUUCUUGUAGUAGUUUACUAACUAUUCCUCGAUCACCUUUUACCUCUUAGGGGCGAAGGUCCUCUUCUUUUGUCGAACUGACUUUAUAUUUAAGUUAAUGUGUAAUUUAUGUACCAUUACCUUGAUAUCAAUCCCUAGCAUUCUGAUAGGGUUAAUGUAAAUAAGUUGAUAUUUUUUUUUAGUAGUUGAAUUAGUUUCUCCUUAUGGUCUAGCUUGACCCUAAUUUGCAUAUAUUUUUCAAGAUUAUUCUCCUAAAAUGGCACAAACAUAAGUACCUCCAAAAAUUCUAGUUUAUUGUCAUCGACCUCAAGUCUCUGAUCAAUUAUUUAUUUUUGUUCAGUUAGAUCAGGACUAUUUUCUACAAGAAGAAUAGAUAUUGACAUGGUAGUUAGUUUUUAUUAUUAAUAUAGUGAUUUGUAGAAAAAAGUAAAAUUGAAUCAAAAUGUAGAUUUGUAUUUCAAAUUUUCUUUUGGCCAACUUAAUAGCUUGAUUCUAUUGACAAAUGUGUGUGUGUUGACUUAAAAGCUAGGCUCUAUAUAGCUGUUUAAAAAUUACAAAAGUAGCUUGUACAAGUGUGGAGUUUAAAAGCUUAGAAUGGCUUAAAAGCGCACUUCUUUUUAGUUAGUUUCUUGUUGCUUUUUACCAAGGUCAUUUUACUUUACUUCUUUAGCUUCCCCAAUAUUUACAUUAGUCUAUCUUUUUUGGCUCUUCUUCUCUGUCAAAUUAUCAAUCUGCUUUCUAGUCCCACCUUUCAUUAUUGUAACGUAGAAUUGUCACGUUAUAGACUGAUCUCUUUUGACCUCUCCAAUCCUAAUCAAUGUCAAGAACUUAAUCUUUAAAUGAGAAGCUAAGUCAAUAGCCGAAUAAUGGACUAGCUAGAUAGCCUAGUAUCAUGUUGAAGGCUGAAGACACAUCUGGCACCAUAAACUCAAUAACCGAAGUCAUGCUCUUCGGCUCAUUGCCUAGUUUGAUCAACAACUUGAUCGUUCCUUUUAUUGACACAUGUUCAUUCUAUAAGCCAAUCAAUGUGGUAAUAAAUGACUUCAACAUCUCUUUUCUAAUUUUCAUUUUUAGCAUUGUGGCAUAGUACAAGAUGUCGAUCAAGCUUUCACUAUCAAAUAAAAUCUUUCUUACCACAUAACUAUAUACAAUAGUAGUGACUACAUGGUAUCAUUAUGUGAGAAUUAAAUGUUUUCUAUGUCUUCCAAAGUAACGAAGAUCGAUCCAUCUUUACAGUCUUUUUUUUCUUAGUUAAAAACUUUAUAGCCAUGAUUAUUCCUUAAUUCAACUUUUUCUUGGUUAAUGUAGACCCUAUAGCAAUAGGCCUAUUAUUUACUACUCGACCUCCCUCAUUUUCUUCGUUUCUCUAGUUUUUAUCACCUCGAUUUUUGUAUAGUCUAUCCCCUAAUUUCUUACUAACUCUUCUUUGUGAUUCUUUCUUCUAUGCCUGUCUUGACCCUGUUUUCAUCAAUCCAUAAAUCUUUCCAACUGACCUUUCUUAAUCAAACUUUCUAUCUUAUUCUUAAAGUCAACAUAAUCUUUUGUAUUGUGGUCAAUAUCUUGGUGAAAUAUGCAUUUUUUGGUUAGGUUCUUCUUUGUGUUCUACCUCAAUGAUUUCAACCUUUUAAGCUUUAGGUUUCUUUUUAUUUAUAUCAGAAUCCUAUCUCGGGAGGCAUUUAGUAUAGUGUAAUUCUUUUCGCUACUUGAGCUAUUAACCCUGUGUCGUCUCCCUCUUAAGGGAAGAUUAUAAAAUUUUUUACCUUUUUCUAGUUGAUAAGGUGAAUGAACCUUUUUCACUUUGACCGCUAAAGAGGGAGGAUGAGCCUCUCUCACCUUGAUUUUUUUUAUUAUAACUUACCUUUUAUGUAUUUUUAAACCACUAGUAGGACAUCAACUAGCAUCUUUAAUGGCUCUAAAGAAAAGGAAAGCAUAAAGUGGUACUCUUUAUCACUGAGUCAUUUAUCAUAGUAGCGACAGCAGUCGUUUCCUCUAAAUCUUUCACUUGUAGAGCUUCUAUGUUAAAACGAGUAACAUAGGCUUUUAAAGACUCAUUUUUGCCUUGAUGGAUUAAUAUCAAGCUUAAAAUAGUUUUCUUAGUUCUUUUAUUGCUUAUGAAUUGAGAGAGAAAAGAGUGGCUAAGAUCUUUGAAUGUAGUGAUCGACCUCGAUUUGAAAAUGCAAUAUAAAGAUCGAGCUGCCCCUUUAAGGGUUGUAGCCAAUUUUUUACACAUCAUGGCCUUAUCUGUACAUUACAUCAUCAUAUUAGUUUUAUAAAGUUUUAAAUUAUCAAAGGGAUCAAAGAUACAUCGUAGGUUUCCAAGAUCAGUGUUUUGAAUCCCUUUAAGGCUCAUUUUUAGCUCAUUUUUCAUAGUAUGCAUUCUAGCCUCCAAAUUUUUAUUCAACUAGGGCUCUUAGUCGAUCUAUUUAGAUUUUUGUGUGGUUACAUGUGUGGAGUUAUGGAUGGGAUAAUGGUAAUAACUGGCUAGAAUAGCAUGUUUCUCCUUCCUAAAGGCUGAAAAGGCUACAACUUUCUCAUAACUCGAUUUUCUUUCUACUGAUUCUCUACUAAUGGUGACCAAGUCGAGUACUUUUGAGGCUAGGGGUGGCAUUAUACUUUGGACUAUUUUUUUUUAAGGCUUAGAUUUGUUCAGUCAAGGUUUGGAAUUGUUCCAUGGUCAAUCAUACUUAUACCAGCACAAGUGGUCUAUAGGUUUGUUUUUAUAGGUUUUGAUCCUAGUUAGGACAAUUGGUUAUUCUUUCUUAUUGGCUCUCUUUUUAGAUGGUAUAGUAUUUAGCUCAAUCAAAGAGUUUUUCCCUACUUGGUACGCCAAAUGUUGGAGCCAAGCUUUGAGCUAAAGGUUAAGACUCUAAAAUCACAAAAGAGAAAAAAAUUGGUUAAAAGCAAAGGCAGGGGGAGCUUCCUAUGUUUGCACCCCCAUGCUCAAGUCAAAGUUUGAAACAAGGGAGGUCGAAAGGAGAGAAAAAUAUGAAAGUAAAAAAAAGUUAGCAUCAAUAGAUAAUAUUUGGAUAGCUUUAUUUAUAGGUAAAAGGUGAAGGGUUUAUGGGGUAGGAUAGUGAUAUAGUCGAGCUAACAUGGCACUGUACAUGUUAGGUCGUCUUAAAAGUAAAAAAUAUCACUUAUUGUUAGUUGACAUUCUUUAAUGAGAGAAAAGACUAAUUUACCCUCUUGACCUAAAAAUACCCCAAAGAUACUAUUUUAUUAUUUACAAAAUAAUUCUCAAUCAAAUAGUUGUUUGGUUUUAAAACCACAAACUGACAAACACUCACUCAAAAAUACUAACUGUAAUGUGGACUAUAACAGGGCAAGUUACCAUAAGGGUAGGAAAUAGUAGUGAAUAGAUGUUCAAAAGGCUCUAAUCAAGGGCUUAAGGAGUUCAAAAAUGAGGUUUCACUUACAUCAAGGCUUCAGCAUGUGAAUCUAGUUCAAGUUCUAGAAUUUGUAUUAAAAAGGAAGAAAAAAAUAUUGAUUUAUGAGUUCAUGAUUACCAAACAAAAACUUGGAUUUCUACCUCUAUGGUAAGCAAUACUUAAUUUUUUCUACCUAGUAUGAUUGUUAAGUACAUUUUUAUGGCAUGAUUUUCCAUAUUAAUGGUUAGAUUAACUUAUCCUAGACUUUUUAAACAAAAAAGACAAAAAUUGUUCAUGACUUUAUUUGAUGCAAAUCCACUUAAAAGGCAUUUGUUAGACUGGAGAAUAUGUGUUUUGAUAAUUAAAAAUGUUACUCAAAGGCUUCUUUUGUCUCCAAGAAUACUCAAAUUUCACAAUAAUUCAUCACAAUAUAAAGGCAAGCAACAUUUUGUUAGAUGAUGAUAUGAACCCCAAAAAUAUCGAAUUUUGGUAUGACCAAUAUUUUCAAAAAAGAUGAACUUGAAGCAAAUACCAAUAAAAUUGUUAGGACAUAGUUGUUGGGCCUGAAACAAUAAACACACCAACAUAAAAGUAAUAUAUCGCAAUAAAUCCACAGUAAUAGAUAACAAUCAACAAUCAACAAUACAGAAAAAAUAAAGCACACCAAAAUUUACGUGAAAAAUUUUUUAGUGUAGAGGAAAAAAUCUCGGACCACUAGAAAAAUCUCCAUUAUCAAAUAAUGAAUAUACAAAGUUCUUCUCUAACUGAAACUAAAGCUAAUUAACAACUAGAAAGACAAUUGAAGAAAUUUCACUAAAUAAGUGACUUAACAAAUACACUAUGGAUUUGUUUCUAGAGAGUAUCAAACCUAAUCUUCACUGUUCAGAAUGUAAAAUUCUGAAUCAUAAACCUGCUAACAAAAUUUCAGUUCAAUCAGAUCAUAGAUCGACUUCCGUUCAACUAACUCUCAUUUCUCCAUUUUCUCUCUAUUUUUCUUACUUCUUUUUCCCCCUUUCUUUUAUUGGUUUGUGGCACUACCUUGUUUUUCACCUUAAAACAAUCCCAUCUCUUUUUAUUAAGUAGCUAGAGCUUUGUGUAAAAGGAAAGACCAAUGUCUAUGAUCUUUGACUGGUCUAAACCCAAUUACAUGGGACUGAACCCUACUUUCCUAAACAUAGUAAGUGAACCAGGUGCUCUCAAAUAAUACAUAUAAAAUCCUUUUCCUUUCUUUUGCAUUGCAUGAUUCGUAUUAGUUUUAUUAAUUAAUUCAUUCAGUGCAGUGGCUAUGUUCCUCCAAAAUAUGUUAAGAAAGGAAUGUAACCUAUGAAGUGUGAUGUUUAUAGAUUUAGAAUUCUACUUCUGCAAAUUAUAAGUGGCAAGAGGAAUUCCAGUCUCUAUGGACGCAAUGAAAACUUGAAUCUUCUUGAAUAAGUAACUUUGGCACAAGCCUUUUUCAUUUUUGUCGUACAAAUAUGUGAAAAUGUAUGAUAUUGAACAAUUCCAGGCAUACGAUUGUGUAAAUAAUGUCAAGGGGCAGAGUUUUUUGAUGCAUCACUGGAUGAUUCAUGUUAGUCGUGUAAGCUCAUUAGAUGUAUGCAAUUAGCACUGCUAUGCAUGUAGGAAAUUCCUGGAGAUAGACCAUCAAUCAAUGGUGGAAGUUUUUACAAUUGCUAAGAAUGAAAGUACUGUUGCAAUCUCUACCACUAAAAAGCAUGCCUUUUCAAUUACAAGAGACGAAAAGGAGGAAAAUAAAGACAUUGAUAGGAAGAAAGUUUUUUCGGUCAAUGAUGCAACAAUAACCCAAGUAGUACCUCGAUGACUGACAGUUUAUGCUUUUGGGAAACAUUUAUGUAAAAAGAAUUAUGGUUAACCAAUCUUUAAUCAUGCAAAUAUAGAUAUUAAAGAUUGGAGCAAAUUGUUGAAUCUGAUAGCUUUAUUGGAAAAUUUCCUCGCUGGGAUCGAUCCCACCAUAAGGAUUGAAUUUCAAGGAAAAAGGAAACUGAUUACAAGCUGAAGUUGGAUAGCUGCAUGAUUAAUCAUAUUCAUUGGGAUGACUAUUUUCGGAGACUACAUGAGGGUAACUAUGAUUGGGACAAUUUAGGCUGCCAGGAUAUGGGCAUCUAGUGGGAACACUGGCAAGCAGAAUAGGCCUAGUUUCAAAUAGGGCUCCUUAAAGUUUAAAGAACAAAUUUCAAGAGAUGUGGACAUUUUAUUUAAUAAUUUUUUACCGCAAUAUUUAAUUAUCGUUGAAUAUGUCUUGCCAUGGAACCUAAACCAAUAAAUUAACUAGAAUGAUCGUCUAAUGAAUUACAACACAUGCUAUAAGCCAUUGGUGUCCUGAAGUUGAUAAACUUCAAAGGAAUUUGGACCCAAGGAUGCAUUUUACGUAUACGAUAGGUGUGUUAUGAUAAUCAAUUUGAAGCAUAAAAGUUAAAAUUAGGCAAAUUAUCUCUGGCUGCAUAAAGAAGGCUGCCGCUUUGCCUCAUUAGUCCACUCUUAAGAUAUUGUGUCAAAUAAAAAAUGUAACGCCUGAUAUUUGUUUCAGACCGUGUGAAAGGGACGUUAAGGCAGCCGUCAACACCUGGCAGAAACUCUGGGAAAAAAAUAUUCUGCCACUUCCACGCAAAAGUCAAUGUUCAGUGCAGUCGUUGAAAGAAACUUCAAGCAUCCUAGGUUGAACCAUCUAAACAGUGCUUAGACCAAGUAAAACUAAUCUUAGAUGGUACUAAUCAAAAAGUCAUUUUAUUUUAUUUAUAUUUAAUAAUUUAUACAUUUAUGUAUAAUGUAAAAUAUUAAUAAUUUAAAUAUUUAUAUUAUGUUUUAUAAAAAACUUAUAUAUUAUAGUUUAUAUUGAUAUAAAAAUAUAAAAUAUAUUUUUUAAUUUUAUUAAUCUUAUAUAUGAUUUUUUAUUAAAAUUUUAAAUUAUAUUAUUUUUAUAUUUUUAUAUUAUUUUAUAUGGUAUUAUUAUAUUAUAUUUUAAAUUAUAAAAUUUAAUUUAAUUUGUCAUGAUCAAUUAAUAAAAUCAAUAUCAAAUGCUUGUUCUCUUGCAAAAUUUGGACUUGGAAAUAUCGGAAAAAGGUACAGGGUGGAAGAGAUGCCUGACUUUAUUUAUAAUGCUGAAGCUGAUACGCUUCAUUACAGUUAAAAUGAAAAGAAGUUUUUCUUUCAAAUAUAUAUAUAUAUAUAUAUAUAUAUGCGUGCUCUAAAGGAUGGUCGAAAAUGUACGAAACUCCCAGACCUGAAGGCCCUAAAACCAGCUGUCAACUCUCAUUUCUAUUUCAGCCAAAACAGUAGCUGUCAUUUUAGCCGGUAAUGUCUUUUGCCUCCUCCCCUCAUUCUCAUAAUUUAAGAAUUUAUUAGUCAUAAGUUUGGAUAUAAUCGAUUAAAUUAGAGUUAAUAUAAUAUUAAUUUUGAGUUUAAAUUUUAUUUUAAAUUUAAAAUUUGAAAUUUGACUCUAAUUCAAUCAAAUUUUAUAUUUUUAAAUCAAGUUUGAUUUGAAACAAAAAUCGAAUUAUUCAAAUUUAUUUGAUUAAAUUUAAUUAACAUGAAAAAAUAAAUUUAAUUUUUAUAUUCGAUAAAAAUUUAAUUAUUUAUAUUUGAGUUUGAGAUAUCUUAUUAAUUAAAAUAAUAAAAAUAUAAAAAUUCGAUUAGAUUCAUGUACUAUCGAGUCAAGUAUAAUAAUACUUAAAGUCAAUUCGAUUGAUAAGUCAAGCUAUUUAAGCUCAAACUCGACUUAAUAAUAAUUGAAUUAAAUUUGAGUUUUAUUUAAAUCGAAUCCGAAUAACUUAUGAAUACUAAUAUAUCAUUUAUACUUUUAGUCAAGACUCAAUUCAUAUUAUUCUUAACCAUUUCUCGUAUUAGAAGUAUCUUUUCUUUUUUAAGGACAUCAAACUUAUUUUUAAAUAGCUCAUAAAUAUUUAAUUACUAAUGCUUUAAUUAAUUAAAUUAUAAGAACUUUAUCUUAUUUAAAUAUUUAUAUUCUUUAACUUAAAUAUAAGCAAUAACACUUUAAGAAAAAAGUAUUUAUUAAAGGUUUGUUUGUUUUGAGUUUACUUAAAUUUUUUAAUUUUGAUUUUCUGUAAGACAUGAGAGGAUUUUUUGUUACAUAAAAAAUUUAGACGUUAUUUGGUUAAGUUUAUAUUUAGAUUUUAUCUAAUUUUUAUUUUAGAAGAAAUUUAUAAAAUUAAUUAAAUUGGGUACAUUUAACAAAUUUUAAUAAUUUUAUAGUCACAAAUUAAAGUUUAGUGACCUAUUCAAAAAUUAAGUGAAAGUUUAAUAACUUUUCACUAUAUAGGUUAAGAGUUUAUAAUUUUAGUAUACUUAAAUAAUUUUAGUGAUUUGAUUAGAAUAAAUUAAAGUUUAGUGACUCAAGUAAAAUUUGAGUAUAAAUUUGAUAUCUUUUGAUGUAAUUUACUGUAAAUAUUAAAAUUUAAACUAAUAUUAUUUUUAAAAUAGGACUGCAUAAAUUGACUUCAAUUAAUCUUCAAAUAGAAAAGUUUUUUAAUACCAAUGUUAUAAACAUCGAAGUCACGAGGAGAGUAGGUUACAAAAAAGGGCGUCACGCCUAGUGUUUUCAUUCAAGUAAAAGGUAGGUUUCCACUAUGUAUAGAGAAGUGCUUAUCAGUUCUCACAUGGGAACACUCUGUAAUUGAAGAGCAAUUGUCUAGAGGUGAUGAUGUACGGACUUUGAAGAAUAAUAGUAGCAGGAGGGCGUCAUUCCCAGCUGGUAAAAGGAUCCAAAUAUCAGCCAUCCAGUUUCCAUGGCAUCCAAAACUAUCUUGAUCUUUCUUUUCAUCUUAUUCCUUUCUCAAUUGCAAUUCACAGAAGCACAAACUUGGGUUAAAGCUGGUUACUGGUAUGCUAAUGGUGAAUUUCCAAUACAAGACAUAAAUUCUGCCUUGUUCACUCAUCUUUCAUGCGCUUUUGCUGAAGUGAACACUUCAACUUAUCAGCUUUUUGUCCCCCCUGUCUCUGAACAAUACUUCUCAACCUUUGCAAGCAUCGUCAAGCGAAAAAACCCGUCUGUUAAAACACUGCUGUCUGUCUGGAAUGGAAUCUCGGCAACAGGAAAAUCUAUCACUGGUGAAAAAGUUAAUGACUCAAUUUUAUCUUC